AUUGAACGCUGGCGGCAUGCCUUACACAUGCAAGUCGAACGGUAACGGGCCUUCGGGUGCCGACGAGUGGCGAACGGGUGAGUAAUAUAUCGGAACGUGCCCAGUAGUGGGGUAUAGCCCGGCGAAAGCCGGAUUAAUACCGCAUACGACCCGAGGGUGAAAGCGGGGGAUCGCAAGACCUCGCACUAUUGGAGCGGCCGAUAGCAGAUUAGAUAGUUGGUGGGGUAAAGGCCUACCAAGGCAACGAUCUGCAGUUGGUCUGAGAGGACGGACAGCCAGACUGGGACUGAGACACGGCCCAGACUCCUACGGGAGGCAGCAGUGGGGAAUUUUGGACAAUGGGCGCAAGCCUGAUCCAGCAAUGCCGCGUGCAGGAAGAAGGCCUUCGGGUUGUAAACUGCUUUUGUCAGGGAAGAAAUCUUCUGGGUCAAUACCUCGGGAGGAUGACGGUACCUGAAGAAUAAGCACCGGCUAACUACGUGCCAGCCGCCGCAGUAAAAC
rnacentral:rRNA from 1 species